UGAAUCAGUAUGUGUGUUAGUGGAAGCGUCUGGAAAGGCGCGCGAUACAGGGUGACAGCCCCGUACACAAAAAUGCACAUAUUGUGAGCUCGAUGAGUAGGGCGGGACACGUGGUAUCCUGUCUGAAUAUGGGGGGACCAUCCUCCAAGGCUAAAUACUCCUGACUGACCGAUAGUGAACCAGUACCGUGAGGGAAAGGCGAAAAGAACCCCGGCGAGGGGAGUGAAAAAGAACCUGAAACCGUGUACGUACAAGCAGUGGGAGCACGCUUAGGCGUGUGACUGCGUACCUUUUGUAUAAUGGGUCAGCGACUUAUAUUCUGUAGCAAGGUUAACCGAAUAGGGGAGCCGAAGGGAAACCGAGUCUUAACUGGGCGUUAAGUUGCAGGGUAUAGACCCGAAACCCGGUGAUCUAGCCAUGGGCAGGUUGAAGGUUGGGUAACACUAACUGGAGGACCGAACCGACUAAUGUUGAAAAAUUAGCGGAUGACUUGUGGCUGGGGGUGAAAGGCCAAUCAAACCGGGAGAUAGCUGGUUCUCCCCGAAAGCUAUUUAGGUAGCGCCUCGUGAAUUCAUCUCCGGGGGUAGAGCACUGUUUCGGCAAGGGGGUCAUCCCGACUUACCAACCCGAUGCAAACUGCGAAUACCGGAGAAUGUUAUCACGGGAGACACACGGCGGGUGCUAACGUCCGUCGUGAAGAGGGAAACAACCCAGACCGCCAGCUAAGGUCCCAAAGUCAUGGUUAAGUGGGAAACGAUGUGGGAAGGCCCAGACAGCCAGGAUGUUGGCUUAGAAGCAGCCAUCAUUUAAAGAAAGCGUAAUAGCUCACUGGUCGAGUCGGCCUGCGCGGAAGAUGUAACGGGGCUAAACCAUGCAC
rnacentral:rRNA from 1 species